GGUUAAAGGAAGUUUCCACAUCAUCCUUCCAGGACUGGGGCCACAUGGUUUGGGUCUCCCCCCCCACACACACACAAACGCACUUGAGCAGUCCCUGUAAAGAAUUCUUCUGAGUGGGGGAAGUUCCUUUAUAAACAGCACACAGCUUACUGUUCCUCCCUGUAUGUGGUGUCCUUCAGCUGUUGUAGAGAAGAAAGACUUGGGCUUUAAUGCUGGUUACAUAGCAAAUGCAUUGAGAUAUGACUCUGGUUUUUCAUCAGCAUAGUUAAUUCUUAACCCAAAACUCCUCUCCGCAAUUGUACAUGAGUUGCUGAAACUGAGCAGGUGCACCUUAUCCUGUCCUGGAGAUAAGGCUGGAAUGGACUUCACCUGCUUCAUUCCUGCAGAGAGAGAGAGAGAGAGAGUUGGGGCCAGCUCUGAAUCCCUAGAAGGUGCCAACUCUGAUAUCGCACAAUUGGUUCCUGCAAGUUGAGGCGAAGGUCAGACCCACCAGUUUAAGACUCGAGCCUCUUUUGUGAUCCAGACCUAGGUGAUGUGGGAAACAGACUAUGUCGGGAGCCUGGCUCCACUCCAGGAUGCUUUGACUAAGAUAUGCCCCUCGACUCAACUUGGGAGAGUGUCCGCAAUCAAGGAUUAUGUGGUGGAAAUGAAUGUCUCCGAAGCCGCAGAAGUUGUUGUGGCGAAAGUCUCCGUCUUGCUAGGCAAUUUGAAAGAGGAUGGCUUCUUCUUGCUUCUUAGUGACCUGCCCACAAUUGCAAGAGAACUGAGAGCUGUCUGGACUCUCUUGUCCUCUCAGUGUAAGGUUCCUAGAAUCGUUAGCCGCAGUGAGAGGACACUGGCUCCAGUCUCUUGCUUGCUGUUUCACUUGGCCCCAAAGAAGGUCCACGAUGUUCUCUCACACCUCAAGGAUUUCGUAGAUGAUGCCAGUAAUGACUGGGAUGAAGACAGCAACUUGGAGUAUCUGAUGAGAGUCCAGCAGGACUUAGAGGAGGUGCAACCAAAUAACACUCUGGACUAUCUGAGGCAGCUUCAUGAGUUACUAAUGAGCCAGCACCAGGAACUUACGCGGCUGGCCUGUCAUCCGUCAAUCAAAGAGAAUCUGGGCAUGCCAAACGUAUUUCACAAACUGUUGUCUCUCUGGGAGGCCCUGGGCUCUAUGCUGGAUGACAGCAGCCACUGCCUGACUAACUUGCAAGGUUUCCUAGCAGCGUUGGAUAAGAUGCAAGCCUGUCUAUUUUACAGAGUGACUUAGAGGAGCCAAGGCUGGUAAUGCAUGUGAAGCUCACCCUGAGCUCCACAUGUCAUUGAUGCCGAAACAACCGCCACAGCACUGAAAUUCUUGUGGGCUAAGAUCACAGGCACACCAUACGUUUAAAGGCCUCUUAUACCACCUUAACAGUCAUAGCAUCCUCCAAAGAAUCCUGGGAACUAGCAUGCUGGGAGUUCUAGCUCUGUGAGGAGUCUCCUAAUCACUCUCUUAAUAAGCUGCAGUUCCCAGGAUCCUUUGGGGAAAGCCAUGACCAUUAAGGUGGUGUAAGAGGGCUUCAAAUGUGUGAUGUGCGUGUGACAUAAGGGACUGGAGGACAUCUGUGGCUCUUCAGAUGGUGCUGGACUCCACUUCCCAUGGUCAGUGGAUGAAGAGAUCUGGGGGGGGGCACUAAUCCCCCAGUUCUGGACUAAGAAUAUUUCAUGCUGAUGGGAACUCAGGCACCAGGUUGGGGAAAGCUUUUUUAUAAUCCUUGCCCUGAACUCGUUGUUCAAAUGUUGAUACUCUUAAUAUUUUGAUGAAGCGUAUUCUCUUGUAUCAUUGCCACAGAAGGGGUUCUUAGUUUUCCUGGAAUGUUGUCUCCCUUCGUUUUGGCUUUAUUAAAGAUUUAGAAGUCUGCAUAA